rnacentral:rRNA from 1 species
CGGAAACUGGAUAACUUGAGUGCAGAAGAGGGUAGUGGAACUCCAUGUGUAGCGGUGGAAUGCGUAGAUAUAUGGAAGAACACCAGUGGCGAAGGCGGCUACCUGGUCUGCAACUGACGCUGAGACUCGAAAGCAUGGGUAGCGAACAGGAUUAGAUACCCUGGUAGUCCAUGCCGUAAACGAUGAGUGCUAGGUGUUGGAGGGUUUCCGCCCUUCAGUGCCGGAGCUAACGCAUUAAGCACUCCGCCUGGGGAGUACGACCGCAAGGUUGAAACUCAAAGGAAUUGACGGGGGCCCGCACAAGCGGUGGAGCAUGUGGUUUAAUUCGAAGCUACGCGAAGAACCUUACCAGGUCUUGACAUCUUGCGCCAACCCUAGAGAUAGGGCGUUUCCUUCGGGAACGCAAUGACAGGUGGUGCAUGGUCGUCGUCAGCUCGUGUCGUGAGAUGUUGGGUUAAGUCCCGCAACGAGCGCAACCCUUGUUACUAGUUGCCAGCAUUAAGUUGGGCACUCUAGUGAGACUGCCGGUGACAAACCGGAGGAAGGUGGGGACGACGUCAGAUCAUCAUGCCCCUUAUGACCUGGGCUACACACGUGCUACAAUGGACGGUACAACGAGUCGCGAACUCGCGAGGGCAAGCAAAUCUCUUAAAACCGUUCUCAGUUCGGACUGCAGGCUGCAACUCGCCUGCACGAAGUCGGAAUCGCUAGUAAUCGCGGAUCAGCAUGCCGCGGUGAAUACGUUC